AUUGAACGCUGGCGGCAUGCUUUACACAUGCAAGUCGAACGGCAGCACGGGGGCAACCCUGGUGGCGAGUGGCGAACGGGUGAGUAAUGCAUCGGAACGUACCCAGUCGUGGGGGACAACGUAGCGAAAGUUACGCUAAUACCGCAUACGACCUGAGGGUGAAAGCAGGGGAUCGCAAGACCUUGCGCGAUUGGAGCGGCCGAUGUCAGAUUAGCUAGUUGGUGGGGUAAAGGCUCACCAAGGCGACGAUCUGUAGCGGGUCUGAGAGGAUGAUCCGCCGCACUGGGACUGUGACACGGCCCAGACUCCUACGGGAGGCAGCAGUAGGGAAUCUUCCGCAAUGGACGAAAGUCUGACGGAGCAACGCCGCGUGAGUGAUGAAGGCUUUAGGGUUGUAAAGCACUUUCAAUGGGGAGGAAAACCUGCCGGUCAAUACCCGGUAGCUUGACAUUACCUAUAGAAGAAGCACCGGCUAACUCCGUGCCAGCAGCCGCAGUAACAC
rnacentral:rRNA from 1 species